AAUAGAGAAUAUUAAUGACAGUUUCAGAGGAUUUGUGGUUUUGUAAAUUUGCCUCAGAGUCGUGGAAACGUUUUGUUAAAAAUGUUGUACGGAGUCGUCCUGUAAUAAUCGUUGUUUUCGUGUUUGUUUGAGGUUUGGCGACAGCUCGCUGCAGGAGAGAGUGAACCAGCAGAGCGCCGAGCGUCUGCGAGCGUACUGCCGCACGCUGACGGACAAAACGCCUCACACGGCUGGUGUCCACUCGCUGUCAGAGCUGCUGUCCUCUCUGGACCGCAGCGUCCAAACCAGGAAGAGGAAGAACGUCGAGGUUCUGUGGACGGCUGCUACGGUGUGUCGUAAGGUGAACGGCGUGCGUCUGACGAGCUGUAAGAGCGCCAAGGACCGCACGUCGAUGUCGGUGACGCUGGAGCAGUGUGUGUUACUGAGGGAGCGACACACACUCAGCCAGC